GAAGAACUUUAUGGAGAAGGGUAGGUGGGCAGAUCCUAUGGGGUCAAAUCCGCAUUCAUAUGGACUUGCUUUUUCUGCAUAGGUGUUUAAUUGGGGUAAUCAGAAUGCGAUUAAUACGGGUAGUGUGGAUAGGAGAAAUCUGAAGAGCACACUUG